AACGAACGCUGGCGGCAUGCCUAACACAUGCAAGUCGAACGAGACCUUCGGGUCUAGUGGCGCACGGGUGCGUAACGCGUGGGAACCUGCCCUUAGGUUCGGAAUAACUCCCCGAAAGGGGUGCUAAUACCGGAUAAUUUCUUCGGACCAAAGAUUUAUCGCCUUUGGAUGGGCCCGCGUUGGAUUAGCUAGUUGGUAGGGUAAAAGCCUACCAAGGCUACGAUCCAUAGCUGGUCUGAGAGGAUGAUCAGCCACACUGGGACUGAGACACGGCCCAGACUCCUACGGGAGGCAGCAGUGGGGAAUCUUGGACAAUGGGCGAAAGCAUGAUCCAGCAAUGCCGCGUGAGUGAUGAAGGCCUUAGGGUUGUAAAGCUCUUUUACCCGGGAUGAUAAUGACAGUACCGGGAGAAUAAGCUCCGGCUAACUCCGUG
rnacentral:rRNA from 1 species